rnacentral:misc_RNA from 1 species
AAGUCGUAACAAGGUUUCCGUAGGUGAACCUGCGGAAGGAUCAUUAAAAAUCCAACCUGGGCCGAAAGGUCCUACUACACCUGUGAACUGUUAUACUUCUGGCUUCUUCCCUGGCUAGUUCUAGUACCUGUUGACUGAGCUCUUGGGCUUGGUUAGCGUGGGAAUGAAUCCAGGGAGUAGUCUAUAUUAACCCUGUUAUAAGUUAUCUUGUUUAAGCUUAAUUCGCAGCCGAAAGGCGGAAUUUUAAAUAAAUACAACUUUCAACAACGGAUCUCUUGGCUCUC